rnacentral:rRNA from 1 species
GACGAACGCUGGCGGCGUGCUUAACACAUGCAAGUCGAACGAAGUGGCGAACGGGUGAGUAACGCGUAAUCAACCUGCCCUUCAGAGGGGGACAACAGUUGGAAACGACUGCUAAUACCGCAUACUGAAGGAGGGGAUUGCGUCUGAGUAGCUAGUUGGAGGGGUAACGGCCCACCAAGGCGAUGCUCAGUAGCCGGUCUGAGGGGAUGAACGGCCACAUGUGGACUUGAACACGGGCCAGAAUCCUACGGGAGGCAGCAGUGGGGAAACUUCCGCAAUGGACGAAAGUCUGACGGAGCAACGCCGCGUGAGUGAUGACGGCCUUCGGGUUGUAAAGCUCUGUUAAUCGGGACGCGGUACCGGAAUAGAAAGCCACGGCUAACUACGUGCCAGCAGCCGCGGUAAUUC